AACGAACGCUGGCGGCAGGCCUAACACAUGCAAGUCGAACGCUCCGCAAGGGGAGUGGCGCACGGGUGAGUAACACGUGGGAACCUACCUUCUGGUACGGAACAACCAAGGGAAACUUUGGCUAAUACCGUAUACGACCUCCGGGUGAAAGAUUUAUCGCCGGAAGAGGGGCCCGCGUCCGAUUAGGUAGUUGGUGGGGUAAUGGCCUACCAAGCCGACGAUCGGUAGCUGGUCUGAGAGGAUGGCCAGCCACACUGGGGCUGAGACACGGCCCAGACUCCUACGGGAGGCAGCAGUGGGGAAUAUUGGACAAUGGGCGCAAGCCUGAUCCAGCCAUGCCGCGUGAGUGAUGAAGGCCUGGUUGUAA
rnacentral:rRNA from 1 species